rfam:Picea glauca, whole genome shotgun sequence.
AUGUAUAUUCCUACAACAUUAAUGCAUUGGAUCCCAUUAUAACUCUGCAAUUAGCACACUUUGGCUAGAGUUGUACUGAGAUGGGAGACCUCCUAAGAAGUCCUAGUGUUUUACAUG